rnacentral:rRNA from 1 species
GAUGAACGCUGGCGGCGUGCCUAAUACAUGCGAGUAGAACGCUGAAGCUUGGUGCUUGCACCGAGCGGAUGAGUUGCGAACGGGUGAGUAACGCGUAGGUAACCUGCCUCUUAGCGGGGGAUAACUAUUGGAAACGAUAGCUAAUACCGCAUAAAAGUCGAUAUCGCAUGAUAUUGAUUUGAAAGGUGCAAAUGCAUCACUAAGAGAUGGACCUGCGUUGUAUUAGCUAGUUGGUGAGGUAACGGCUCACCAAGGCGACGAUACAUAGCCGACCUGAGAGGGUGAUCGGCCACACUGGGACUGAGACACGGCCCAGACUCCUACGAGAGGCAGCAGUAGGGAAUCUUCGGCAAUGGGGGCAACCCUGACCGAGCAACGCCGCGUGAGUGAAGAAGGUUUUCGGAUCGUAAAGCUCUGUUGUAAGAGAAGAACGAGUGUGAGAGUGGAAAGUUCACACUGUGACGGUAACUUACCAGAAAGGGACGGCUAACUACGUG